ensembl:lncRNA
AUUGGUGACAGCAGACUUUCUUUUCAGCAAAGAAAGGAAGAAGCUUAUUUCCAUUCCAAGGCCUGCUGCACUGUUUAAACCUUCUGUUUGGUCCAAAACCCUGGCAAACUACCGAUCAUGGGUUGCUCCAGAGCUUCAUCGUGUGAACCACAGAAUAGCAGAGGUUGGAAGGAGUUCCUUCAACAGAGACACCAGGACAGUUUUAUAGGGUGGAAGAUGAGUGCCUGAUUGACCUCAAAGCCUGGGUAAGGACCCACCAGCACUGGGACACUAAGUUUAAGUUAUGAGGCUUCUGGAGAUCUUACAGCAGUCUCUUUACUCCCCUUCUACGACCUGGCAUAGAGGGCCAAACGACUGUCAAUUGCUCAUUAACCUUUCUGUGGAGGACAGUCUGGCUGUAAGACAGCUUCACCCAUCACUCCAUCCUGUUGGACAACAAGGACUGUCCGUGCUGAGGGCACUGCAUGCUUGUAUUGCAUGAAAUCCGCCUUAUUCUUAGUGCCAAGAUUUCUUCACAUCUGAAUACGUUACUUGUACAUUUGCUGUUUUGUCUCAGGUUAUUUUUGCUUGGUUUGGGAGGCUUUAUAAUUUUUUUUUUCUUGCAGUAUGCAGUCCUGAAAAAUGUAAUAGCAUUUUGUUCUGUGAAUUCAUUUUAUUGGCUUGUGUAAGUUGUGUCAUGUUUCAUCAUGGCAAGUUGCACUGUUGAAUAUUUUAUAUUAAGCACAUUUUUUACUCUCUUCCACUUUUAAAGUCAAAAUUUCCUUUCCAAAAGUAAGGCAUGAGAGUAGGCAGACAGACAGACAAUAUAGAUAGCAAGAAAGAACAUUCCCCAAUGAAACAACCACAUAAAAGUUCCCCAAGCAUCCAUCCCUGUUUGUAGCUUAAGUGUUUGGGAUAGCGAAG